rnacentral:tRNA from 1 species
UUCUAUAGGCCAGCUGGUUAGAGCGCACGCCUGAUAAGCGUGAGGUCGAUGGUUCGAGUCCAUUUAGGCCCACUUUUUCUUUCUGACAUAAGAAAUACAAAUAAUCAUACCCUUUUACGGGGCCUUAGCUCAGCUGGGAGAGCGCCUGCUUUGCACGCAGGAGGUCAGCGGUUCGAUCCCGCUAGGCUCCACCAAAAUUGUUCUUUGAAAACUAGAUAAGAAAGUUAGUAAAGUUAGCAUAGAUAAUUUAUUAUUUAUGACACAAGUAACCCGAGAAA